CUCUAUUACAUGGUCUUGUCAAAGCAUGACGAAAGUAUCCACAUGGUGGCGGUGUUGCACUACUUGAUGACGGAAUACAGACGUGAACCCAGUGCCACAAAUCUAUCAUGGGACACCAUAGACACAUAGAUGGACAGAGUUAUAAAUCAACCAUAAGUAUCCCAAUCUAGCUGCGAAUGCAGUAGCUAUAUAAUUUAUAUGACAUUUAAAUUGUUCAAUACAUUGGUGAUUUUAGCCAUCCCUUUGCGAAAUUUUAGUUAGACUGAACAGUGCCAAAAUUCAGGUGUAAAAUAUUUAGGAUCAAUCCAGCUCAUUUUCGCAUGGCUGCCAAUUAAUCAUUGAUACAGUAACGCCUUUCCAAUAAAACCCUUAUUAGUCAAUAUGAUUUAAGCGGUAAAACUAUGAGUUUCUAUUGUCUGCAAUGCCCAUGUUAUUUAGAUAGCCUGGACUUGGAUCUAACUAUAUGGAAUAGUGCUUGUGUCCGCGCGCUCCAGCGUUCGGUGGGGUGUCUCUAUGAUAAAUCAGUGCGCACGCUGUGCGUGAAGCUUCACUCUGAAGGAACGCCGUGGGGUACUGACUAGAGAAGCAACUAGAGAAAAGUCGGGACAAUUUUACCUCGAUUUGAACCUCAUAAUGCCAUAAUUCUGCGUGCCCGUCUCUCCGUUUUAUUCUAUACUCCGUCAAGACUGAUAAAAGAAACUAUUAAAUCAAACCAACCAGGCUUUACAAGUAGACUGAGGGCACACGGGAGUGGUAGGACGACCGCGGAAACCGUCUAUCAAUAGUAGGGUGGGAAUUAUAAGGUGCAUAAUAAGUGCAUAAUAGUUUGGGGUGUUUCUAACAUAAAGGACAGGAUUUUAGUGUCUCGGAAUAUUUUUGACUUUUGUACCAACGGGGUUAGCUGUAUUGGACCGGAGCAAGACAAACCUGAACCCCACGGAUGUCGUUAGUUGACAGACACACAGCUGGAAUUUAGCAGCACCUAUGGAUUAACAAGCAACCGUAACACCUUUGGAGGGCGUGAGGAGCGCGGAGGGAGCGGAUCAGCAGGAUGAGUGAUCGAUGCAGACAGAAAGCAACCAGAGGGGCUCUACUUCUAAUGGUCUGCAUGGCAACUCUCUUGGAGAUGCCCUUGCCAACAGAGAGCCACAGAGUGCACCAUGUCAGGACCGGGACCUGUGAAGUGGUGGCCUUGCAUCGGUGCUGCAAUAAGAACAAAAUAGAGGAACGCUCCCAAACCGUCAAGUGUUCCUGCUUCCCUGGACAAGUGGCCGGGACGACCAGGGCAGCCCCAUCCUGCGUAGAUGCCUCCAUAGUGGAGCAGAAGUGGUGGUGUCAGAUGAACCCCUGUCUGGACGGAGAGGAGUGCAAAGUUCUGCCCGAUCUAAAAGGAUGGAGCUGCGCUACGGGGAACAAGAUCAAGACCACCAAGUUAAUUAUUUAGACUGGCCCCACCACACCUGCCUGGUGCCUGGUCCUAUUGAUCCGGGGAGAAGUCGGGACCUCGGGAUGGAGCGUUUCAUUUUGGUGGCCACACCACUGCGCUAUCAAUGGAUUGAUCAACCAUUUCAAACCACAUGCACGUGUUAAUUUCUUUUCUUAUGAAAUCUAAAACCAACCCCCCCCCCCCCUCCCCUCUCCACUCUCUCUUUUCUGUUAUCGUUGAAAACAUGGAACGCCGGAAAGAUUUCAUCCGACCGGGAUCAGCUUUGGUAACCCUUGGUGCCAUGAUGCUGGAUUAAGGUUGACCACUAGGCAUUUGCAAGAGAGAUCUCAGAGAGUCUCUGGUGCACCUGUGGAACACCACCAGCGACUUCUGAGAUGAUGCUGAAGACCUUACUGUAAAUAGACACUUGCUUCACUGAGGACUUGGAUCUUGGAGAAAGACUUGAAAGCACAAGUUAACAGGUAGAGACAUCUGGAAGAGAGUGAACUUUGGGACUUUUGAUUUUUAAAAGCCAACUGUGGUUGACAAGAAGUGUUUUUAUUCUCUAGCGUUGUACUGCUUGUAGUUGACUACAAUGGUGACUUUUGCCUAAAUAUCAUUUGUAAAGUACGUUUUUUGGGGUGGGAUAUGUAUUUGCUCUGAAUAUAUGAUAUAUUCCAAGUGUAACAGGGUGAAUUUGACAAAAAAAUCAGUAUUUUAGCAAGAUCAAGUAUAAGUAUAUCAAAGGGGAGUUUCUUUUGAUGAAAAGACAACAACCCCACAUUUUAAAAACUAUAGUAGGAGAGCGUAAUAGAUACAAUUUGGUGAACUUUAAGUAUACUGUAUUUAGUGAAGAUGCAGGAUAAUUCUUAAAGGAUAACACAAACAUAUUUUCUUCAAUUCCAUCUUUUGUGAAGGACUAUCAGAAAAGCUAAAGCGCCUUCCUCUAGUUUUUGUCACAAGGAAACCUAACAUACCCUAAGUGAAACCAGACACAAACACAUUCAAAUUAAGGGCUGGAGGUGGUAUAGUCCACUGUACCCUAUAAACAUGAAAGAACUUGACCUGAUUGCCCCAGCACAGAUACUCUAGGGUGUGAUUGUGUAUAGUGCCCCACCGUCUGCAGAUAUUAGCCAGGUCCAUCACUGCAUAAGCUUCAUUUGCACAUGCUUCACUUUACCAUCAGAGGAUCAUUUUAUGAAUGUAGAACCCAGAAAGAGGAAGCUAGCGCUCCAGGGAACCCAGAGGAAAUACUGAACACAUCGGCUAUCUGAACACCGACUCUAAAUCACGACCGUCAGAGGGCGGGUCAUCAGCAGCAGAGAAUGGGCUCUCUAAUUCCUCCAUCUGCGAGUAUUGUUCUGUGAGAGCAGUUUUAGAGUUUAGCUAUUCAGCGGUCAGAUAAUAUCUGCCGCAAACAUAAGUGGGAUGGAAGUGGCUGAGUACUCUUAUAUACCUGCUCCUGUCCUCCUGAAAAUCACCCUGUCAAAUCCGGUCAGCUGUGUCAAUUUGUCUCUGCUGUGUUGAGCCGUGAGUCCGAUCUGGAUGGCCAUGUAAAGUUAUGUAAAUUUAUGCAAGCUGAAAUACAUUCAUUCGUUUUCCACUGCACUAGUGGAGUGGCUGUAAUUCAUUUUCUUUCUCCCCCCCCCCCCUCCCAAAGAUGAUUUAUUUUCAGUCAGAUUGAUAUAUUUGAUUUGCUGAUGAUAACUUUCCAACAGGUAUUGCUAAAGCUUACUCUG